ACACGACUCUCGGCAACGGAUAUCUCGGCUCUCGCAUCGAUGAAGAACGUAGCGAAAUGCGAUACCUGGUGUGAAUUGCAGAAUCCCGCGGACCAUCGAGUCUUUGAACGCAAGUUGCGCCCGAGGCCAUUCGGCCGAGGGCACGCCUGCCUGGGCGUCACG
rnacentral:rRNA from 1 species